rfam:Microgenomates (Woesebacteria) bacterium GW2011_GWC1_38_13 TS75_C0031, whole genome shotgun sequence.
GCGGGGAUGGCGGAACGGUAGACGCGCAGGAUUUAGGAUCCUGUUUCCUCAAGGAAGUGGAGGUUCAAAUCCUCUUCCCCGCA